rnacentral:rRNA from 1 species
UACGGAGGAUCCAAGCGUUAUCCGGAUUUAUUGGGUUUAAAGGGUGCGUAGGCGGCCUAUUAAGUCAGGGGUGAAAGACGGUAGCUUAACUAUCGCAGUGCCUUUGAUACUGAUGGGCUUGAAUGAACUAGAGGUAGGCGGAAUGUGACAAGUAGCGGUGAAAUGCAUAGAUAUGUCACAGAACACCAAUUGCGAAGGCAGCUUACUAUGGUUUUAUUGACGCUGAGGCACGAAAGCGUGGGGAGUCAAACAGG